UCCAAUAACUGAAUUUGAAGUUCUGCACCCUUAAACAGUUUAAUCCUAAUGAUAUAUUGAAAGUAAAAUUGUCAAAUGGAGUGCCAUGUUGAAUGUCAUUUAAGCAAGUGCUUGUUGCAUGUCAUCUAUUUACUAAUAUGUAGUGAAGAUAUCUAUUUAUCUUCAGGAUUUGAAUGUGAUGCAGUGUCUCAAUUUAGACUAUUAUGAGUAUAUAACGUAACUUUCUAUAAUCAAGAAGCUGUUCAGUUUCUUUUAGCUUGACAAUGAAAGGAUUCAAUAGCUGUGCAUUAAACUCCAACUCUUGUUUAGAAUUGUUACCUUGUGAACAUUGAAGGUGACAUCUUGAACUUGAAUUAAUAGAUCUGUUGGGAUUUGAGAAGUGGCAAACCUGCGGAACCGAAUCAAGAGAAGGGGCUGUGCAAUUGAGCCACCGAAGAGGAGGAAUUCAUGGCUGCUCACUGGGUGCAGCUUCUAGUAAAGAGAUCAAGUUAUAGGAGACUGGGGUCUGGGGCAUGGCUUAAAUGAAUGUGAGAAGUGAGUCUGUGGUUGAAAUGGUAGUAACAUUUAGUGGGUUUGGUGGGAUGUUAAUACAAGUCCUUUUUAUUGAC